ACUGCAUAGGUCCGUGAUUGAAAAUCCAAGCCAGCUGCGGGCAAAGGGAUCCACGUAAGCUGCAACGCAGGGCGGGCAGUGAGCAUGGCGUAGUUUAGAAGUAAGUCCUCCGAUAAAAUCGGGUAAAGGCAAGUGUGGGGGCAAAGAUCAGGUCGGCUAUGCAGU
ncrna:unclassified sequences raiA RNA